UACGUAGGGGGCAAGCGUUGUCCGGAAUCAUUGGGCGUAAAGAGCGUGUAGGCGGUUCAGUAAGUCUGCUGUGAAAGUCCAGGGCUCAACCCCUGGAUGCGGGUGGAUACUGCUGGGCUAGAGUCCGGAAGAGGUGAGUGGAAUUCCUGGUGUAGCGGUGAAAUGCGCAGAUAUCAGGAGGAACACCGGUGGCGAAGGCGGGUCUCUGGGCCGAUACUGACGCUGAGGAGCGAAAGCGUGGGGAGCGAACAGG
rnacentral:rRNA from 1 species